CUUGCCCGGGGACUACGAGCCCCAGCUUAAAACCCAAAGGACUUGGCGGUGCUUUAGACCCCCCUAGAGGAGCCUGUUCUAGAACCGAUGAUCCCCGUUAAACCUCACCCUCUCUUGUUCAUCCCGCCUAUAUACCGCCGUCGUCAGCUCACCCUAUGAAGGAUAAAAAGUGGGCAAAAUUGGCAAUGCCUAAAACGCCAGGUCGAGGUGUAGCGUACGAGAGGGGAAGAAAUGGGCUACAUUCACUGACCCAGUGAAAUACGGAACAUGGGCUGAAAAGCCUGUGUGAAGGAGGAUUUAGCAGUAAGGCGGGAAAUAGAGCGUCCCCCUGAAACCGGCCCUGAAGCGCGCACACACCGCCCGUCACUCUCCCCGAAAAACCAAUUACUUAUUCAUAAACAGAGAAGAAAAUAAAGGGGAGGCAAGUCGUAACAUGGUAAGUGUACCGGAAGGUGUACUUGGACAAAU
rnacentral:rRNA from 1 species